rnacentral:rRNA from 1 species
GCAGUCGAGCGGUAGCACAGAGAGCUUGCUCUCGGGUGACGAGCGGCGGACGGGUGAGUAAUGUCUGGGAAACUGCCUGAUGGAGGGGGAUAACUACUGGAAACGGUAGCUAAUACCGCAUAAUGUCGCAAGACCAAAGUGGGGGACCUUCGGGCCUCAUGCCAUCAGAUGUGCCCAGAUGGGAUUAGCUAGUAGGUGGGGUAACGGCUCACCUAGGCGACGAUCCCUAGCUGGUCUGAGAGGAUGACCAGCCACACUGGAACUGAGACACGGUCCAGACUCCUACGGGAGGCAGCAGUGGGGAAUAUUGCACAAUGGGCGCAAGCCUGAUGCAGCCAUGCCGCGUGUGUGAAGAAGGCCUUCGGGUUGUAAAGCACUUUCAGCGGGGAGGAAGGCGUUGAGGUUAAUAACCUUGUCGAUUGACGUUACCCGCAGAAGAAGCACCGGGCUAACUCCGUGCCAGCAGCCGCGGUAAUACGGAGGGUGCAAGCGUUAAUCGGAAUUACUGGGCGUAAAGCGCACGCAGGCGGUCUGUCAAGUCGGAUGUGAAAUCCCCGGGCUCAACCUGGGAACUGCAUUCGAAACUGGCAGGCUAGAGUCUUGUAGAGGGGGGUAGAAUUCCAGGUGUAGCGGUGAAAUGCGUAGAGAUCUGGAGGAAUACCGGUGGCGAAGGCGGCCCCCUGGACAAAGACUGACGCUCAGGUGCGAAAGCGUGGGGAGCAAACAGGAUUAGAUACCCUGGUAGUCCACGCCGUAAACGAUGUCGAUUUGGAGGUUGUGCCCUUGAGGCGUGGCUUCCGGAGCUAACGCGUUAAAUCGACCGCCUGGGGAGUACGGCCGCAAGGUUAAAACUCAAAUGAAUUGACGGGGGCCCGCACAAGCGGUGGAGCAUGUGGUUUAAUUCGAUGCAACGCGAAGAACCUUACCUGGUCUUGACAUCCACAGAACUUUCCAGAGAUGGAUUGGUGCCUUCGGGAACUGUGAGACAGGUGCUGCAUGGCUGUCGUCAGCUCGUGUUGUGAAAUGUUGGGUUAAGUCCCGCAACGAGCGCAACCCUUAUCCUUUGUUGCCAGCGGUUCGGCCGGGAACUCAAAGGAGACUGCCAGUGAUAAACUGGAGGAAGGUGGGGAUGACGUCAAGUCAUCAUGGCCCUUACGACCAGGGCUACACACGUGCUACAAUGGCAUAUACAAAGAGAAGCGACCUCGCGAGAGCAAGCGGACCUCAUAAAGUAUGUCGUAGUCCGGAUUGGAGUCUGCAACUCGACUCCAUGAAGUCGGAAUCGCUAGUAAUCGUAGAUCAGAAUGCUACGGUGAAUACGUUCCCGGGCCUUGUACACACCGCCCGUCACACCAUGGGAGUGGGUUGCAAAAGAAGUAGGUAGCUUAACCUUCGGGAGGG